AUGUUUUCAUAACUUCUUUAGAAUGACCUGAAAAAGUUCUUAUGUAAUUGUUUACAAAACUCUUAGAGAUACAGAAAGAAGGUGCCUACUAGAGUUGCUAAAAUUUAAUUAUUUCUUCUAGGAAAACAUCUAAUAAUACUAUGAGAGUUGGUACAGAUUAUCUAAAAUAAUACAAAAGGUUAUAUAAUAGUGUAACAUUGCCAAGAAGUGGAUUAUCUCAUCUUCAUCCUGUAAUUCCAGUGUUUGUCACAUGGUUGUUGAAUAAAUGAAUAAAGAAUGAAAAAGCCAGAAGCUCUGAUACAUAGUCAUAAUGACAAUUAUUUCAAUGCACAACUAUGGGUGGUGCUGAACUACAAUCUAUAUUUUCUGCAACUGGCUCCUCUAGGAUCUACUAAUGAUUUAAGUCUAAAAGAUGAAGUUAGUAAAGCAUCAGAAAAAAAGGUACUAACUUUUAUUUUAAAAUUAUAUAAUAUAAAAAAUUGUAAUAUUUUAUUACUGGAAUGCUUACUUGAACUUUUAAUGGUUUUUUAUUUAACAUAAAACAUAUAAAAAUUUUUCUUAAAAAGGAUAAUAUUUUUAUAUCAUACAUGUGUGGUGAAAAUUUAUGGCUGGGUGUGGUGGCUCACACCUGUAAUCCCA
rnacentral:lncRNA from 1 species